AAAAAUAGAUAAAAGAGCAAAACUUAUAAUUAUACAAAAAGAAACAAUCAGUGUUUAUGUCUAUUAGUUUCUAAAUGCAUCAGUAUUUUUCCUGCAGUUUCUUUCUAUAUAUAGACUUAACUUAGGGUUUCUUGACAGCCUGUAAGCAACACUGAAAUAAGAAUGCUAUUAAUCUUUAAUAUAUGUUUUUAUGCCAUAUAAAAUAGUAUAUUCUACUAAGCAAGUGUGUGACAUACAUUCAGAUUACAAUUUACUCUGCCAUUAAUUAUGUGUACAAUAAACAUAAAUAGUUAUUAAUUGUCCUUUUAAUAUAUAAUUAUGUACAAUUAAUGUGUAAAAUAUGUAUGCUUGAUACUUUCUUAUAAUUAAGAUAAAUAAAUACUGCAUCCACUAAGUUUUCACACACAGAAUAUAACACACUGAUCAGAUAAAACUAAUGGCACCCCAGGUGGUUCCCUCUUAUAAUCUUAUGCAUGAUCAAUCUUCUCAUUGAGCAUUCUGGGAUAGACCAGAUUGUUCCAUGUGAUUAUUCAGGGGGAGUCUGGGUUUUUAUACAAUCCAAAACAGUCUAAAAUGACACUGCAACUGUGAUUCUCUUAUAAUUUUCAAGUUUUACUUUUAUUUAUCAUUUGAUAUAUUUGUACCUUCAAUAAAAUUAAUGUAAAAAUAAAAUGAUGAUGGCUUUGAUAUUUUGGGAUCACCCCUGUUUCACAUUAUGAUUGCCCCUUCAGUUAUACUGUUGAAAAAUUUGAAUCUCAGACAUUAAUGGGUCAAGUGGUUAUAGUUGGAAGUAGUGCAAACCUGGAUUUAUUUUAAGCAAUUUUGGACAUAUAUUGUUUUAAAUGUUAGGGAGCAUAUUUUGGAAUUUUCAAAGAAAACAUUUAUCUAAGUGUGACAAGAUUCAGGAAAUGUUUGGUUGUUGUAAUUGAACCUAAAGAUCAAUGACCUGGGACAGGAAGAUAAACAAAAGAAACAUGAUAGUAAAAAGGUUCAGAGUCAGCUUGUAAGCAAGUUUGCAAGACUGUUCCAAACUACAAGAAGAUGGCAAUCCAGCUUUGCUGUGUUUUAUCAUAGUAUAUCAUUGGCAUCCAGGCAUCGAUUAAGGAAGCCAACUGUAGACCAGGAAAGGCUUCAAGGAAUAUACUACAGAAUUGUAUCCUGGAGCAUUUUCCACAUGUGACCCCUGUGAUGGUGAGGGAAAAACUAAGGGACAUUUAAAAUCAUGAAGAGUGAACAGGAAUUCAAAAGAUAGAUAUUUGAAUACAUUAAAAUUUAACCGGAUACCAAAAUAUUAUAACUGAACAUUGAGUGUAAUAUUUACCAUUAAAGACUUCUAACUUAACUUUUCAUUUGUAGUGCAUUUACUAUUUACUUCACACUGACAUUAAAUGUUUCAGUGAGUCAUGUGAUCAUUUUUUGCUCUGUAUUAUUACAAAGAAGUUUCUUAAUUCCUUAAAAGGACAAUAUAAUUGCUCUUUUCAGAAAAUUUCAUUGGAUGUUAUAUUUUCUGAUUUUCCAUGGAU